UACGAAGGGGGCUAGCGUUGCUCGGAAUCACUGGGCGUAAAGCGCACGUAGGCGGAUUGCUAAGUCAGGGGUGAAAUCCUGGAGCUCAACUCCAGAACUGCCCUUGAUACUGGCGGUCUCGAGUCCGGGAGAGGUGAGUGGAACUGCGAGUGUAGAGGUGAAAUUCGUAGAUAUUCGCAAGAACACCAGUGGCGAAGGCGGCUCACUGCCCGGUACUGACGCUGAGGUGCGAAAGCGUGGGGAGCAAACAGG
rnacentral:rRNA from 1 species